rnacentral:snoRNA from 1 species
CCCCUCUCAGGAUCAGGCCUGGAGAGUUUCCAGUACUCUACCAGUCUCAGCUAUGGGAGGGAGAGUCAAGCAGAGGCAGACCCAUUCCAUUUAUGGUUUGGGCAGUGGCUAGCGAGUGGAAGGCCAUCUGCUACAAGU